GCCUAGCCCAGAUAGCAGUGAAAAGCAUUUUAUAAAGAAAGACUGAUUUUGUUGCUAUAAAAAAGCGCCCAACGGAAGCUCUUUUUAUAGCUUACAAAAUUGACUUUUAUUUGUAAAAUCUUGCAACGAAUAGCUGGAAAUAGC
rnacentral:sRNA from 1 species